rnacentral:rRNA from 1 species
CCGAGAGGGUUCAGACCCUCGGCGGACUGNUCAGUAACACGUGGAUAACCUGCCCUAAGGUGGAGGAUAACCCCGGGAAACUGGGGAUAAUACUCCAUAGAUUAUAGAUACUGGAAUGUUUUAUAGUCUAAAGCUCCGGCGCCUUAGGAUGGAUCUGCGGCCGAUUAGGUUGUUGUUGGGGUAACGGCCCAACAAGCCUGUAAUCGGUACGGGUUGUGGGAGCAAGAGCCCGGAGAUGGAAUCUGAGACACGAUUCCAGGCCCUACGGGGCGCAGCAGGCGCGAAAACUUUACAAUGCAGGAAACUGUGAUAAGGGAACCCCGAGUGCCCGUAUAUGCGGGCUGUCCAGGUGUUUCAAACGCAUCUGAAGAAAGGGCCGGGCAAGACCGGUGCCAGCCGCCGCGGUAAUACCGGCGGCUCGAGUGGUGGCCACUUUUAUUGGGCUUAAAGCGUCCGUAGCUGGAUUUAUAAGUCUCCUGGGAAAUCCGCCGGCUUAACCGGUGGGCGUCCGGGAGAUACUGUGAAUCUAGGGACCGGGAGGGGUGAGAGGUACUCCGGGGGUAGGAGUGAAAUCCUGUAAUCCCCGGGGGACCACCUGUGGCGAAGGCGUCUCACCAGAACGGCUCCGACAGUGAGGGACNAAAGCUGGGGGAGCGAACCGGAUUAGAUACCCGGGUAGUCCA